UGGGGAAUUUUGCACAAUGGGGGAAACCCUGAUGCAGCGACGCCGCGUGAUUUAGAAGGCCUUUGGGUUGUAAAAAUCUUUUUUACGGGAUGAAAAUGACAGUACCGUAAGAAUAAGGUCCGGCUAAAUACGUGCCAGCAGCCGCGGUAAUACGUAUGGACCGAGCGUUGUCCGGAAUCAUUGGGCGUAAAGGGUACGUAGGCGGCCUAGUAAGUUAGAAGUGAAAUAAUAUAGCUCAACUAUAUAAAGCUUUUAAAACUGCUAGGCUUGAGAGAUGGAAGGGAAAGUGGAAUUCCUAGUGUAGCGGUGAAAUGCGCAGAUAUUAGGAAGAAUACCGGUGGCGAAGGCGACUUUCUGGUCAUCAUCUGACGCUGAGGUACGAAAGCGUGGGUAGCAAACAGG
rnacentral:rRNA from 1 species